AGAUACACACACACAGUCAGAUACACACACAUAGUCAGAUAUACACACACAGUCAGAUAUACACACACAGUCAGAUACACACACACACAGUCAGAUACACACACACACAGUCAGAUACACACACACAGUCAGAUACACACACACAGUCAGAUAUACACACAUAGUCAGAUACACACACACAUAGUCAGAUACACACACACAUAGUCAGAUAUACA